rnacentral:rRNA from 1 species
UACGUAGGGUGCGAGCGUUGUCCGGAAUUACUGGGGUAAAGGGCGCGCAGGCUGUUAUGCGAGUCUGCUGUGAAAUGUACCGGCUCAACCGGUGCCUUGCGGCGGAUACUGCAUAGCUGGAGUACUGGAGAGGGAAGUGGAACUCCCGGUGUAGUGGUGAAAUGCGUAGAUAUCGGGAGGAACACCGGUGGCGAAGGCGACUUACUGGACUGUAACUGACGCUGAGUCACGAAAGCGUGGGUAGCAAACAGGAUUAGAUA